UCCGUAGGGUGCAAGCGUUAUCCGGAAUUAUUGGGCGUAAAGAGCUCGUAGGCGGUUUGUCGCGUCUGCUGUGAAAACCGGAGGCUCAACCUCCGGCCUGCAGUGGGUACGGGCAAACUAGAGUGCGGUAGGGGAGAUUGGAAUUCCUGGUGUAGCGGUGGAAUGCGCAGAUAUCAGGAGGAACACCGAUGGCGAAGGCAGAUCUCUGGGCCGUAACUGACGCUGAGGAGCGAAAGCUAGGGGAGCGAACGGG
rnacentral:rRNA from 1 species